AUGCAGGUCUCCACAAAGACCCUGGAGGUUGAGCCCAAUGCCACCAUCAUCAGGGUCACAAUCCAAGAUAAGGAAUGCACCCAGUACCACCAGCAGCAGCUGAGGUUCGAUACCAAGCAGCUGGAGGGUGGCCACAUCUUGUCAGACUACCAUAUCCAGAAAGUGUUCCCCCUGUGCCUGUGGGGUGGCGUCAUAGAGCUGGCCGUUUGCCAGCUCACACAGAACAACAUCUGGGACAACAUGAUCUGAACAAAUGCUACUCAUUCCUGCACCCAGGUACAGGGCAGGCUACUGUCACCAGAAGUUGCACCCAUAACAACCUGUACCCAAAAAG
rnacentral:lncRNA from 1 species